UACGGAGGGGGCAAGCGUUGUUCGGAAUUACUGGGCGUAAAGGGCGCGCAGGCGGCUGCUCAAGUCAGGCGUGAAAGGCCUGGGCUCAACCCGGGAACUGCUUUUGAAACUGCCGAGCUAGAGUGCGGAAGGGGCAACUGGAAUUCCCAGUGUAGCGGUGAAAUGCGUAGAUAUUGGGAAGAACACCUGAGGCGAAGGCGGGUUGCUGGGCCGAUACUGACGCUGAUGCGCGAAAGCCAGGGGAGCGAACGGG
rnacentral:rRNA from 1 species